CUCCCGCUCAAGCUUGAUUUUCAAACAGAAUAGACAUUAAAUGUGGAAAAGCUCGUCUUGAGAAGUUCAACUAGUACCGUUUAUACAGCCGAUUGCAUUGGGUGUAGUUAAAAGUAAUAUCUUUUGGUAAAUUUCAUGCUAGCUGAACUGUGAAGUCAUUAUUAGGUAAGGUAUAAUACCCUCCUUUCGAAGAAGCCUUGUCCUACAGACAGCUAGAAGAUUGGUUAUUUGUCAGACUCUUAAAGGAGGGUAGUUUACUUAACCUAAUAACAAUGAAAAUUGGUAUCACCAAAUAAUGUUUUGCACGAAAGGAAUCGAACAAUAAUUUAUAUAUAUGUGUAUUUCCAGCAGAUAGAAGCAGACGUUUCCAGUGCUCAGUUUUUUCACUUCAUGUAUAUAAUCCGUUUAAUCCCGCUGCAAUUGUUUGUACCUGUCCUUAGUUAGGAAUCUGAUGUUUAGUAGUUGACGUUUGUUGAUUUGGUUCAUAAGACUAAGUGUUUCUCGUUUCUCGUUUUUUUUUUUAUAUAGAUUAAAGGUUUCAGACCACCAAUUAGAAAU
rnacentral:lncRNA from 1 species